UCAUGUGGAUGAUGAGAUAUAAAUUUUACAGUUAUCCCUGGCUGAUACAGCAGGUGAUGAAAAUUUGUAAUCUGACGCAGCG
rnacentral:snoRNA from 1 species